rnacentral:tRNA from 1 species
GUGGGCGUAGCUCAAGUGGUAGAGUGUGUGCUUGGUGUGCAGGAGGUCCUGGGUUCAAUCCCCAGUACCUCCU